rnacentral:rRNA from 1 species
AGAGUUUGAUCCUGGCUCAGAGCGAACGCUGGCGGCAGGCUUAACACAUGCAAGUCGAGCGGGCGUAGCAAUACGUCAGCGGCAGACGGGUGAGUAACGCGUGGGAACGUACCUUUUGGUUCGGAACAACCCAGGGAAACUUGGGCUAAUACCGGAUAAGCCUUACGGGGAAAGGAUUUAUCGCCGAAAGAUCGGCCCGC